AUGACUUUUGAACAACUGGGUUCAUGCUGGUUUGGAGCAACCAUUUUGCCUGUCUGACCCACACAGAAAAGCUGCAGCAUCGAGAGAAACAGACAUUGCAAUCUCAUCACUUUCAACAGCAAAUAGAAACAUGGGAUCUUAAACAUGCAUUUCUAAUUUGAACAACACAACCAAUAGCUUUUCUAUUUUCCAUUUUUUUCCAAAGGAUGAAAUGAGUAGGUUUCAAGCAUUAUUGAAGCAAAAUGAAUGCUAUCCUUGCAUUGGAUUACUCUUUGACUGAGAAAGCAAAGUAACUGGAGGAGAAAGAAAGGAUCACAUAAAUCUGACAUCACAGAGCAGCCAGAAAACUUGCAGAUAUAUACAGUCUCAAGGAUUCCCAACUAGUGAAAUCCUAGAACCUAGGAUCGAACUUUCAAAAGUAUUUUAGAAGCAGUCUGAAGAGUAAUGUCAAUGUGAAGACAAGCCAUUCUGUGAUUGUUUGAACAGCUGGAAGCCAGACAAGAGAACAUAUGAUCUCUCUUCUUCUCAAUGUUACUCCCGAACG